UACAGAGGUCCCAAGCGUUGUUCGGAAUUACUGGGCGUAAAGGGUGCGUAGGCGGCUCGAAAAGUCUGAUGUGAAAUCUCCAAGCUUAACUUGGAAACAGCUUUGGAUACUGUCGAGCUAGAGGUUUUUAGAGGAAGUCGGAAUUCUCGGUGUAGCAGUGAAAUGCGUAGAUAUCGAGAGGAACACCAGUGGCGAAAGCGGACUUCUGGAAAAAAUCUGACGCUAAGGCACGAAAGCUAGGGGAGCAAACGGG
rnacentral:rRNA from 1 species